rnacentral:misc_RNA from 1 species
AGCAGCCGCGGUAAUUCCAGCUCCAAUAGCGUAUAUUAAAGUUGUUGCAGUUAAAAAGCUCGUAGUUGAAUUUCGAGAUCAAAUUGUUGGUCGUGCCUUGGUACGCACUGGCAUUAUUGGUUUCUCCCUUCUGACGAAUCAUGAUGUCAUUAAUUUGGUGUCUUGGGGAAUCAGGACUGUUACUUUGAAAAAAUUAGAGUGUUUAAAGCAGGCUUACGCUUGAAUACAUUAGCAUGGAAUAAUGAAAUAGGACGUUUGAUUCUAUUUUGUUGGUUUCUAGGAUCGACGUAAUGAUUAAUAGGGAUAGUUGGGGGCAUUAGUAUUCAAUUGUCAGAGGUGAAAUUCUUGGAUUUAUUGAAGACUAACUACUGCGAAAGCAUUUGCCAAGGAUGUUUUCAUUAAUCAAGAACGAAAGUUAGGGGAUCGAAGACGAUCAGAUACCGUCGUAGUCUUAACCAUAAACUAUGCCGACUAGGGAUCGGAUGAUGUUAAUUUUUUAAUGACUCAUUCGGCGCCUUAC